rnacentral:rRNA from 1 species
AACGAACGCUGGCGGCAUGCCUAACACAUGCAAGUCGAACGAGACCUCCGGUGCUUGUGGCGCACGGCUGCUUAAGGCGUGGGAACCUGCCCAUAGGUUCGGAAUAACUCCCCGAGAGGGGUGCUAAUAACGCAUAAUGUCUUCGGCCCAAAGAUUUCUCGCCAUUGGAUGGGCCCUCGUUGGAUUAGCUAGUUGGUAGGGUAAAAGCCUACCAAGGCGACGAUCCAUAGAUGGUCUGAGAGGAUGAUCAGCCACACUGGGACUGAGACACGGCCCAGACUCCUACGGGAGGCAGCAGUGGGGAAUAUUGGACAAUGGGCGAAAGCCUGAUCGAGCUAUGCCGCGUAAGUGAUGAAGGCCUUAGAGUAGUAAAGCUCUUUUACCCGGGAUGAUAAUGACAGUACCGGGAGAAUAAGCACCGGCUAACUCCGUG